UCAUGAAGAUGGGGAUGUGCCUUCGGGAACCUCGAUACAGGUGCUGCAUGGCUGUCGUCAGCUCGUGUGGUGAGAUGUUGGGUUAAGUCCCGCAACGAGCGCAACCCUCGUCUUUAUUUGCCAGCCUUUCGAAUGGGAACUUUAAGGAUACUGCCAGUGACAAAAUGGAGGAAGGGGGGGACGACGUCAAGUCAUCCUGGCCCUUACGUCCAGGGCUACACACGUGCUACAAUGGGCGGUACAAAGGGUUGCUACACAGCGAUGUGAUGCUAAUCUCAAAAAGCCGAUCGUAGUCCGGAUUGGAGUCUGCAACUCGACUCCAUGAAGUCGGAAUCGCUAGUAAUCGCGGAUCAAACUGCGGCGGUGAAUACGUUCCCGGGCCUUGUACACACCGCCCGUCACACCAUGGGAGUUGGUUGUACCCAAAGUAGCUAGAAAA
rnacentral:rRNA from 1 species